UACGUAGGGUGCAAGCGUUAAUCGGAAUUACUGGGCGUAAAGCGUGCGCAGGCGGCUUUGCAAGACAGAUGUGAAAUCCCCGGGCUCAACCUGGGAACUGCAUUUGUGACUGCAAGGCUAGAGUACGGUAGAGGGGGAUGGAAUUCCGCGUGUAGCAGUGAAAUGCGUAGAUAUGCGGAGGAACACCGAUGGCGAAGGCAGUCCCCUGGGCCUGCACUGACGCUCAUGCACGAAAGCGUGGGGAGCAAACAGG
rnacentral:rRNA from 1 species